UCUGCACUCUGCUCUCAUUGGACAAGCACCACAAUUUGGAUUUUUCUUUGUGCAAACAACCUUUCCAAAAGUUAUCAUGUGAUAGUGCAAUUCAUACAAUGUUUUUUGAUCAAGUUCGCAUAGUCGGGGCCAGAGAUAUUGUUGAAUGGAGUCCAUCACUGGGUACUCUUCUAAAAGGUGAAAUUGAAGGUCUCCAGGGAGUGGUUCCAAGGGGAUCCAUCCUAAACGCACUGAUAUUCGAGCAACAUUUAUGUCAACAGGGAAAGCAAUAUUUUUGAGCGCCAAAAGCCGUACGCAUUCCACGCUCUUCAAGCCCAAUCCUGGUAUCUCCAACAGGUAUUCCUUCACAAGAUCUUGUGGUGCAUAACGUAACCAUUCCAAGUCAAUGCUUCCAUGAUAUUCAUAUACUCGAUUGAGGAAGUCCUGAAUUCUUUUUGCAAUAAUAGUUUGUUGGCCCCUUCCUUUAAUGACUUCAGUAAUCUCAGUUAAGGGUGCCUGCCUAACUGCCUCCCAGUCCACGGAAUCUGUUUGGUUCCUAGCUCUUGGUCUGGAAUAUAUUCUUCUCAAACUAUCCCAAUCCCUCUUUUCUACUUCUUUCUCCUUAUCAUUCUCUUUCUUCCCUCCCGUAGUCUUUCUUGUCUUAUUGGCAGCUCGUUUCAAAGCACUACGAAUGCUUUUUACCAAAUUAAGAAUGUUUAACUGGAUUUCAUUCAAUUCACUUUGUGUGUGCAAAUUUCCCUUCAUCCCAACUUCUGCUUCUGAGCUCUUUGAGUUUGAUCUUGGAUUCAAACUCUCCAUCCCACUUGAUGCAUUUCCCGGGUUCUCAUAUCUUUGUACUUCGCUUUCAUGUCUACAAUAUUCCUGAGGUAAGAUGUUAUUUCCAAUGUCUUCAAUAUCUACCAAGCUUGUUCCUUCUACCAUAUCCACUGGGGUUUCGUGUUCAGGAUCAGUGACAAAAUAUUGGUUACCAUGUGAAACUUGUGUUUCUCCGGUGUACAAGACGUUACUUCUAGUGGAUUCCUGGCUAUUCUUGUUCUCCAGGUCAUCAGCGGAUGCUUCUUGAUUACUUGUUGACUGAACAGGACACUUCGCAGCAAGUGACAUGUAAGCAGAACUUGAAAGAAAAUCUGAAACAUUCUGAGUUAAGAAUACUCCUACCACUGAGUCCACUACUGAUCCUUUCCACGGUUUGAACCUUCUAUCUCCUAGAACUAGAUGCAUUCUAGAAUUAAAUGAAUCUACCCGUCCACGGAAAAUUUUUCUUUCUUCUUCCCACUUUUUUUCUUUUUCUUCGUCUACUUUUUCUUCACCUGCACCAUCAUCUAUUUUCAUCAGCUGAUUCCACCGUCUAACUGUCUCUGAGUCUAGAACAAUCUUUGGUUUUGGUUUUUUGGCAGAAUCAGAACCCUGAUGAGGAACUAUAGCACUUAUAUCACUGAUCUUUAGCUUCUUAAACUUCUCAAUAAUUUGGUUCACCACCCCACCUUUAUGGGUAACACUACUCUUUCUCUUGAAUACUUUCAGUGGACGUGUACAUAUUUGAAUUAUUGCAAGGGAAGACAAAUUUGCUCUUGGAAUAAACCGUCUCGAUCUCUUCUUUUUUAUGCAACCAUGGAAGCGGAGAAAACCUGAAAUGGACACAAUAGAUUUUCUCUGCCUUUUGAUCCUCCUUCUCCUGCAUCUCUUUGGGAAAUUAGGUUCAACUUUUCUAAUAUUGCUGAGACAAUGAUUUACUUUAAAUGGCAUCUGAUGAACCCAUGAGGGCCUGUGUUGGAAUUGGAAACCAGUUUGGUUCCUUACAUAGGGAUUCCUACAAUAAUCCCUCGCUGAUCUUGCUCCAUGAAUGCUCCAUCUGAAUGAAUUUACUUGCAAGUCAAGAUCAUUCAACAACUUUUGCCCUCCAAAAGAACCCACAUUAGACUGCAUAGUUGACUUCAUAUCACUAGCAUGGCUUGCAGCAAGUUCAGAUACAAUUGACAUGGUUGGUAGCCUCACUUUGUCAUCACUUGACUGGCAUCCUGUAACAGCAACUUCUAGUACACCCAUAUUUGGUUUCACAAUUUCCAUCAUGUUAUCAUCAUUUGGUUGUUUUACUACGGUCAAUAAGCUCGAAUUUGCAACAACAAUGUUAGUGCAGUACUCUGUAGUUGAGGUUUGUUGGGUACCUGUUUCCCCCUUUUUCAUGGACUCAGUUUUUCUAACAUGAUUCUUCUUUUCCUUCUUCACCACAUACUUCCUCUUCUCCUUGUUUUUUACAGGUGAAUUCUUGACAGUUCUUUUGGAUCUACCUUGACCAGCAAUUUUGGGCCUAUGUCUAUGUUUCCUACUUUUGGAUCUCUUCAGCGGCCUUUGGUUCACAUCUGUGACAUUUCUUGGUCUUUUGUUGAUAUUGUGCUUCAACAAUGGGGUUGCUGGCUCUAAGCACUCAACUUCUUGUGAAACUUUAUCUUGACCACACCGAGUUACAUGAGAUCCUGUGUUGCUUGUAUCAUUCUCCACAUCUAAGUUGUGCAAGAGAUUAUGGCUUUCAGGUAAAAAGUUCUCUCUACUAAGUUCUACAGUGUUUCUGUCAAUUCUAGAAGCUGAAACCUUAAAAGAAGGAACAGUUAUCCAGCCUAUCGCAUCUUUUAUUGGAGCAUUUGAGGAUUCUUGAGAGGCUUCACCUUGGGUUGUUGCAGUUUCAGAUUCUUGAAAGGGAGGAGCUACACUGGGACAAUUCAAGAACCCUGCAGAAGUAGUACUGUUCAAUGGUGCAUUCCAUUCAUAAAGGCCUUCAUUUGACUCCCCUGAGGUGCCGAAAUCUAAAUGUCUAGCCACAUUAUUAGUACAAGCCUUUAUAUCACUCAGACUGCUAAGUGCCUCCUGACAACUGAAGUCUCCUUCUUCCCCUGAACAUCCAGAACUGUUGACAACAAAACAUGCAGGUUCUCCUGAAUAUCCAGAGUCCUUAGAACCACCGGGAGCAAUUACAACAUCUUCCCAAUCACUAAUACUCUUGUUCAGAUCAAUCAGGUCAUCAGAACUACAAUGAGAUUUAUGUCCUUUUUCCUCAUUGUUUUUGUCAGGAGAAGCCCUACCACGAGCCUCCACUUCAGAAAUCUGCGCCAGAGAACUUUUUCCUAAGUUGCCUUUCAGGCACCUUUUAGUAUACACUUUCUGUAGUCUGGCUGGUUUAGUUUUUGCAGGUGUUUCUGGAAUCCAAUAGCCAUGCACUUCAGGAAGCUUUUCAAUUUGACGGCCAAGUUCCCUGUUCUUGAAUUUUCUCUGGUAAACCCUGAUGGUUGACAUGUUUAUACACCUGGCUGAGCUGAACAGAAAUAUUCUAAUUGUCAAUCUUCAUGUAUCACCUCCUUUCCCAGAUAAAAGGGCAGCAUUAACAAUUCUCUUCUGGAGAAUCCUCUAUCAACAUUGAAUGAAGGGAAUCAACAUUGAAUGAAGUAUCAAACUCUUUUUCUUCCUUCGAGAUACAGGAGAGCAAUUACAAGGAAAGAUAAGCAAGUAGUCCCAAAAAGCUCUACUGAUAACAAUUGCAUGCUUCCACUCAACAUCUUAGGGUAGAGGAAGUGAUAAAAUAGAAUCUAAACCUCGAAAAAAAAAAGAAAAAACUUUAAAAACGGUGGAUUGAGCACCUGGGAUAAGGACGAAAUGAG
rnacentral:misc_RNA from 1 species